rnacentral:ncRNA from 1 species
CGGUAACGGCAAGCUAAUCUCUGAAAUUUCGCCCCAGUUCAGAUCGAGGUCUGAAACCCGACCUCGUGAAGUCGGAAUUGCUAGUAAUCGCGAAUCAGCAGGUCGCGGUGAAUACGUUCUCGCCUCUUGUACACACGUCCUAUAGCAUAGGAAUAAAUGCGCGCCUAGCAGCUUACUAAGCAAGGUGGUUUAAAUCCAUC